rnacentral:rRNA from 1 species
GAUGAACGCUGGCGGCGUGCCUAAUACAUGCAAGUCGAGCGAACGGACGAGAAGCUUGCUUCUCUGAUGUUAGCGGCGGACGGGUGAGUAACACGUGGAUAACCUACCUAUAAGACUGGGAUAACUUCGGGAAACCGUAGCUAAUACCGGAUAAUAUUUUGAACCGCAUGGUUCAAAAGUGAAAGACGGUCUUGCUGUCACUUAUAGAUGGAUCCGCGCUGCAUUAGCUAGUUGGUAAGGUAACGGCUUACCAAGGCAACGAUGCAUAGCCGACCUGAGAGGGUGAUCGGCCACACUGGAACUGAGACACGGUCCAGACUCCUACGGGAGGCAGCAGUAGGGAAUCUUCCGCAAUGGGCGAAAGCCUGGCGGAGCAACGCCGCGUGAGUGAUGAAGGCCUUCGGAUCGUAAAACUCUGUUAUUAGGGAAGAACAUAUGUGUAAGUAACUGUGCACAUCUUGACGGUACCUAAUCAGAAAGCCACGGCUAACUACGUG